GCCUCGCUAGCUCAGUUGGUAGAGCAGCUGACUCUUAAUCAGCGGGUCCUAGGUUCGAGUCCUAGGCGAGGCA
rnacentral:tRNA from 1 species